AUUAUGAACUAUUUCGACCAAGGAAACUAGAUGGUUUGGUCAAAAUGAAUUCUUGUUUUGACUAAACAGUCAUGGAUGACUUGAUAAUUUCAAUUCGAAUCAACCCAUAUGGUAUAUUUUCCACGUUCAUAGGAGUGCGUCUAUGUUUUGCUUUACGUAUAUGAUAUUUUUUGGGCAUUUCUAAUAAUAUCAAGUCUUAUUCCUAUUUUGGCAUUUUUCAUUUUCGGGAUUUUAGCCCCGAUUAGGAAAGGGCCAGAGAAACUUUCUAAUUAUGAAUCGGGAAUAGAACCAGUGAGCGACGCUUUCAAAUA
rnacentral:lncRNA from 1 species